GGACGAACGCUGGCGGCGUGCUUAACACAUGCAAGUCGAGCGGUAAGGCCCUUUCGGGGGUACACGAGCGGCGAACGGGUGAGUAACACGUGGGUGACCUGCCCUCAGCUCUGGGAUAAGCCUGGGAAACCGGGUCUAAUACUGGAUAUGACUCCAUGACGCAUGUUGUGGGGUGGAAAGCCUUGUGCGGCUGAGGAUGGGCCCGCGGCCUAUCAGCUUGUUGGUGGGGNGAUGGCCUACCAAGGCGACGACGGGUAGCCGGCCUGAGAGGGCGACCGGCCACACUGGGACUGAGACACGGCCCAGACUCCUACGGGAGGCAGCAGUGGGGAAUCUUGCGCAAUGGGCGAAAGCCUGACGCAGCGACGCCACGUGAGGGAUGACGGCCUGG
rnacentral:rRNA from 1 species